UAGUUUACCACACAGGGGAGAGAUCGUAAUCAUUAAGGUGGUUCUCCCAGGACAAGGCUAUCCCAUUGCACUCUGGGUGUGCUAACGCCUGUGAUGUCCCCAAAUGCGGGAUAUUUGACUGCAAAAUUUGUGGUAAUGGGGGACUGUGUUAGCACUAAAUUUUG